UAGCAUGGAAUAAUAAAAUAGGACUUUGGCUCUAUUUUGUUGGUUAGGAACCAAAGUAAUGAUUAAUAGGGAUAGUUGGGGGCAUUAGUACUCAAUAGUCAGAGGUGAAAUUCUUGGAUCUAUUGAAGACUAACUACUGCGAAAGCAUUUGCCAAGGAUGUUUUCAUUGAUAAGGAACGAAAGUUAGGGGAUCGAAGACGAUCAGAUACCGUCGUAGUCUUAACUAUAAACUAUGCCGACUAGGGAUCGGACGAUGUUAUUUCUUGACGCGUUCGGCACCUUUCGAGAAAUCAAAGUGCUUGGGCUCCAGGGGGAGUAUGGUCGCAAGGCUGAAACUUAAAGAAAUUGACGGAAGGGCACCACCAGGGGUGGAACCUGCGGCUUAAUUUGACUCAACACGGGGAAACUCACCAGGUCCAGACACAGUGAGGAUUGACAGAUUGAGAGCUCUUUCUUGAUUCUGUGGGUGGUGGUGCAUGGCCGUUCUUAGUUGGUGGAGUGAUUUGUCUGCUUAAUUGCGAUAACGAACGGGACCUUAACCUGCUAAAUAGCCCGUACUGCUUUGGCAGUUCGCUGGCUUCUUAGAGGGACUAUCGGCUCAAGCCGAUGGAAGUUUGAGGCAAUAACAGGUCUGUGAUGCCCUUAGAUGUCCUGGGCCGCACGCGCGUUACACUGACAGGGCCAGCGAGUACCUCCUUGGCCGAAAGGCCCGGGUAAUCUUGCUAAACCCUGUCGUGCUGGGGAUAGAGCAUUGCAAU
rnacentral:rRNA from 1 species